rnacentral:rRNA from 1 species
GAGUGGCGGACGGGUGAGUAACACGUAGGUAACCUGCCCAGAAGCGGGGGACAACAUUUGGAAACAGAUGCUAAUACCGCAUAACARCGUUGUUCGCAUGAACAACGCUCAAAAGAUGGCUUCUCGCUAUCACUUCUGGAUGGACCUGCGGUGCAUUAGCUUGUUGGUGGGGUAAYGGCCUACCAAGGCGAUGAUGCAUAGCCGAGUUGAGAGACUGAUCGGCCACAAUGGGACUGAGACACGGCCCAUACUCCUACGGGAGGCAGCAGUAGGGAAUCUUCCACAAUGGGCGCAAGCCUGAUGGAGCAACACCGCGUGAGUGAAGAAGGGUUUCGGCUCGUAAAGCUCUGUUGUUAAAGAAGAACACGUAUGAGAGUAACUGUUCAUACGUUGACGGUAUUUAACCAGAAAGUCACGGCUAACUACGUGCCAGCAGCCGCGGUAAUACGUAGGUGGCAAGCGUUAUCCGGAUUUAUUGGGCGUAAAGAGAGUGCAGGCGGUUUUCUAAGUCUGAUGUGAAAGCCUUCGGCUUAACCGGAGAAGUGCAUCGGAAACUGGAUAACUUGAGUGCAGAAGAGGGUAGUGGAACUCCAUGUGUAGCGGUGGAAUGCGUAGAUAUAUGGAAGAACACCAGUGGCGAAGGCGGCUACCUGGUCUGCAACUGACGCUGAGACUCGAAAGCAUGGGUAGCGAACAGGAUUAGAUACCCUGGUAGUCCAUGCCGUAAACGAUGAGUGCUAGGUGUUGGAGGGUUUCCGCCCUUCAGUGCCGGAGCUAACGCAUUAAGCACUCCGCCUGGGGAGUACGACCGCAAGGUUGAAACUCAAAGGAAUUGACGGGGGCCCGCACAAGCGGUGGAGCAUGUGGUUUAAUUCGAAGCUACGCGAAGAACCUUACCAGGUCUUGACAUCUUGCGCCAACCCUAGAGAUAGGGCGUUUCCUUCGGGAACGCAAUGACAGGUGGUGCAUGGUC